rnacentral:rRNA from 1 species
CCUACGGGAGGCAGCAGUAGGGAAUAUUGCUCAAUGGGGGAAACCCUGAAGCAGCAACGCCGCGUGGAGGAUGAAGGUUUUCGGAUUGUAAACUCCUUUUGUUAGAGAAGAGAAUGACGGUAUCUAACGAAUAAGCACCGGCUAACUCCGUGCCAGCAGCCGCGGUAAUACGGAUGGUGCAAGCGUUACUCGGAAUCACUGGGCGUAAAGGGCGCGUAGGCGGGAUAGCAAGUCAGAUGUGAAAUCCUAUGGCUUAACCGUAGAACUGCAUUUGAAACUGUUAUUCUAGAGUAUGGGAGAGGUAGGUGGAAUUCUUGGUGUAGAGGUGAAAUCCGUAGAGAUCAGGAGGAAUACUCAUUGCGAAGGCGACCUGCUAGAACAUAACUGACGCUGAUGCGCGAAAGCGUGGGGAGCAAACAGGAUUAGAUACCCUGGUAGUC